UUGCAAACAAUCCCGAGACUUGGGAGGUUAUAAUUUGGGACGCCAUGUGCAGAGGCACACAUUCAGAUCUUAUUGUGGCUGAGGGAACAAUCUGAAGGGAGCGGGUGGAAGACAGAUUAAUGUGGGUGAUUUAUCAGUUGUGAAGGGGCCAAGCUCCUGACAGCACUAAAAGACGGAAUAACCAAAGUGGAAACGAAUUGCAUAGAACAUUUUGAAAAAUUAAUUUCGAAGAGAAUGUUUAUGUCUGAACAUACAUAUGUAUACAGAGCGCAUAAAUAAACAUCACAUCUCACACAUACACUUACCUCUUGCGUCUGUAGGUCGGGCUGCUGGCAAUCUCAUCGUUUUGGGACCUGCAGAAGGAAAGACAAAGGGUCCCUGAGCGCAACAGCCAGCUAUGUCAAGGUUGUGAAGCAGACACGGGAGAUUCUGUCACUUCCCUUUUACAGGUACCGGAGCCAGAGGGUCAGAGAACAUCCACCAGUUUGGACGAGGGAGCUGAGAAGUGACUCAACCCAGUCCGGGUUGAAUCUAGAAGACUCAGCCCCGGGGGCAGUCCCGAAACGUUCAGCCUCUCUCCUCAGACUCACAGGUGCAGCUCUCAUCAUUGUCUUCUGGAUUUUAGCAACUGGGCCCAUCUCAAAGAAGAUUCUACACAUCAUCCUGAUGCUGGCAACAUAUCUAGAACUUGUAAUUCUAAUACGAUUGGCAAAACUGAAUAAUAAAAUUGAAUCGAAAUGUUGAAAGAGAUCAUCGAUUUGGUAAAAUCAUAUGAAAAUGCAGAUGAGAAACAUAAGUCCAAAGGAAGAGACUGUCUUAUCCUUAUGGCGAAUAUGUUGUGGUCAAGAAAUACCAUGGAGAUAGAAAUGUAUGUCUGUGGCAGUCAGCGUUAUGUGUCAUAAGAUGAAGCCAGUGAUCUGGGUGGUUUACCAUUACCGUUUAUAGUGGCAAGAUAAUUAUUGCAAAAUCGAACUAAAAUGUCACUUAUUAUAUAUACACAAUGGCAUAGCGCAAAUCCCUCUUGGGCUUUCUUUCAAGGAAAGUUAAGGAGUUUUUCAAAACACCAGGACAAUAUUCUUAGAGGUUCCCAUUCAAAUGUGGUCAAAUGGGAUGGAAUAAAAAGAAAAUCAGCUGUUGAAAAAGGAAGAAU
rnacentral:lncRNA from 1 species